UACGAAGGGGGCUAGCGUUGCUCGGAAUCACUGGGCGUAAAGCGCACGUAGGCGGCUUUCUAAGUCAGGGGUGAAAUCCUGGAGCUCAACUCCAGAACUGCCUUUGAUACUGGAGAGCUUGAGUCCGGAAGAGGUGAGUGGAACUCCGAGUGUAGAGGUGAAAUUCGUAGAUAUUCGGAAGAACACCAGUGGCGAAGGCGGCUAUCUGGACGGUUUCUGACGCUAAGACGCGAAAGCGUGGGGAGCAAACAGG
rnacentral:rRNA from 1 species